rnacentral:rRNA from 1 species
GAUCCUGGCUCAGAAUCAACGCUGGCGGCGUGCCUAACACAUGCAAGUCGAACGCGAAAGCCCCGCAAGGGGUGAGUAGAGUGGCAAACGGGUGAGUAACACGUGGGUGACCUGCCUUCGAGUGGGGGAUAACGUCCCGAAAGGGACACUAAUACCGCAUGACAUCCUGCUUUUGGAAAAGCGGAGAUCAAAGCUGGGGAUCGCAAGACCUGGCGCUUGAAGAGGGGCCCGCGCCUGAUUAGCUAGUUGGUGAGGUAAUGGCUCACCAAGGCUACGAUCAGUAUCCGGCCUGAGAGGGCGGACGGACACACUGGGACUGAGACACGGCCCAGACUCCUACGGGAGGCAGCAG